UACGUAGGGUGCGAGCGUUAUCCGGAAUCAUUGGGCGUAAAGAGCUCGUAGGCGGUUCAGCAAGUCGGCUGUGAAAGUCCGAGGCUCAACCUCGGAAUUGCAGUCGAUACUGCUGUGACUCGAGUCCGGUAGAGGAGAAUGGAAUUCUCGGUGUAGCGGUGAAAUGCGCAGAUAUCGAGAGGAACACCAGUAGCGAAGGCGGUUCUCUGGGCCGGCACUGACGCUGAGGAGCGAAAGCGUGGGGAGCAAACAGGAUUAGAAACCCCCGUAGUCC
rnacentral:rRNA from 1 species